AUUUCGAGAGCAGCCGUGCGUGCCAAGAAUGACCCGCGGUUUGACUUCCUGCAGUCCAGGCACCAGUACAACUCCUAUUACGAGUUCAAAAAGCACUACUUCAUGC